rnacentral:rRNA from 1 species
ACGAACGCUGGCGGCUGCUUAACACAUGCAAGUCGAACGGAGUGGCGAAAGGGUGAGUAACGCGUGAGCAACCUGCCUAUGACAGUGGGAUAGCCUCGGGAAACAGGGAUUAAUACCGCAUAGUCAUAGAUGGGCUCGCGUCUGAUUAGCUAGUUGGGGAGAUAACAGCGCACCAAGGCGACGAUCAGUAGCCGGUCUGAGAUGAUGAACGGCCACAUUGGAGCUGGGACACGGUCCAAACUCCUACGAGAGGCAGCAGGGGGGAAUAUUGCACAAUGGGGGAAACCCUGAUGCAGCGACGCCGCGUGAACGAAGAAGGUAGUCGUAUCGUAAAGUUCUGUCCUAUGGGAAGCAGUACCAUAGAAGAAAGCUCCGGCUAAAUACGUGCCAGCCGCCGCGGUAAUUC